rnacentral:lncRNA from 1 species
GGCGAAAAACAGCAGGAGUUUUUGUGAGUGGUCAAGCAGGGAACAAUGACACUGGAGUGCGCAUCCACGAGAGGACUCCAUGUUUCUCUUUCAAUCUUUGAACGAACACAACGUCGCCCGGUUGGAAUAUUAUUGCUAUUUUACGAGAAAAAUCGCAUAAAAAUUGAUUUUAAACAGCGUUUGACAUGCUUCGAAGUACGGUAAUGGAAUAUUUUGAAAUUUUUGGUCACGAAACGCGCUCGCGCGUCACCCUUCGGAUAGUUACCUGAAGGCACGAACAAAACGGAGGUAUUUUGAUAUAACUAUGGAUUAUUUCGAACCAUAACAACAUUUGUUGUUGAAGUAGAAGUCCUGGGAGUGCAUUCUGAUGAAGAACAGCAAAGUGUGUGCGUGUGCGUGCCUGCGUAUUUGCAGGGAGAGUUAACAGUCAGUACAGCUCAGGCCUUGGACCUCAGUGACAUGGCUUAGACUCAAGGGAGAAACAACACUAAGUACAGGCAGAUAGAUACAGUACCUGCAAAUAGAGUUUCGCUCCUCAGGUGUUGACGCCAAGUUGUCAGAUGACAUGGUGUACAAUGUGAUAGUGGACGUCCUCAGCAACCUGACACUGGUAGCGCAGCAGAUGAGGGCCUGGUAGUGAUGUCUGCUGAGCUGGAGGAGGUGGUGAACAGCAUUCUGAAAGGCAGUGCCCCUGGCAUGUGGAAGAAGAAGUCCUACCACAGCCUCAAACCCCUGAGCAGCUACGUCAAUGACUUCCUAGAUAGGCUCAAGUUCCUACAGGAACAUGCUCCGGGCAUAGUGUCCCCUAGGACUGGUACGAUGACGGGAUGCUGGCGGUCUUCUGGAUGUCAGGCUUCUUUUUCACCCAGGGCUUCCUGACGGGUGGCCAGCAGAACUGCUCCAGCAAACACACUAUCCCAUCGACCUGCUGGGCUUCGACAUUGAGCUGCUGCAUGACUGUCAGUGUCCGUGUAUAGGUGAUGAGGAAAGGAGUCAAUCGCAGGACACCGAACUGAGUAAAAAUUAAGUAUUUUACUCAAAUAAAAAUUCAGUAUACAAAAUCCACGCAAGGGAAAACAAGAACUACAAACACAACGAACAAUACCUACAGUAAAACACUAACGCAAAAAACAUCAUGAUGACCAGAGGGUUUAAAUAGGGAAGUAAUCAUAACCAAAUGGGAACCAGGUGUGAACAAUCAAGACAUAACCAAUCGACAAAGAAACAUGGAUCGGUGGCAGCUAGAAAGCCGGUGACGAUGACUGCCGAACGCCGCCCGAACAAAGAGAGGCACCAACUUCAGCGGAAGUCGUGACAAUGACAAAGAGUACCGCCAGCCCCCCAAAGAUGGUGAGACAGACAGAGGGGGGAGGGAAGGAAGAAUGGGUGAGAGAGGGGAGGAAGAAGUAAAGGGGUGAAGUGGAAAAAGAGAUGAAGGAUGAGAUUUCUCAUGAUUAAUCAGGAAUUCUGCUUUUCUGACACAAUCCUCCAACUGACCUAUUCCCUAGCCAAAAUCCUGAUUUUUAAUGGUAUCUUGAACACAGGUUCCCACCGUGAAGCAUGGAGGUGUGAUGGUGUGGGGGUGCUUUGCUGGUGACACUGUCUGUGAUUUAUUUAGAAUUCAAGGCACACUUAACCAGUACGGCUACCACAGCAUUCUGGUUUGCGCUUAGUGGGACUAUCAUUUGUUUUUCAACAGGACAAUGACCCAACACACCUCCAUUCUAUGUAAGGGCUAUUUGAUCAAGAUAGAGAGGGAUGGAGUGCUGCAUCAGAUGACCUGGCCUCCACAAUCACCCGACCUCAACCCAAUUGAGAUGGUUUGGGAUGAGUUGGACCGCAGAGUGAAGGAAAAGCAGCCAACAAGUGCUCAGCAUAUGUGGGAAGUCCUUCAAGACUGUUUCAAAAACAUUCCAGGUGAAGCUGGUUGAGAGAAUUCCAAGAGUGUGCAAAGCUGUCAUCAAGGCAAAGGGUGGCUACUUUGAAGAAUCUCAAAUAUAAAAUAUUUAUUUAAGACGUUUUUUGGCUACUACAUGACUCCAUAUGUGUUAUUUCAUAGUUUUGAUGUCUUCACUAUUAUUCUACAAUGUAGAAAAUAGUAAAAAUAAAGAAAAACCCUUGAAUGAGUAGGUAUGUCCAAACGUUUGACUGGUACUGUAUAUAUAUAACCGUCCUGUGUUCAG